rnacentral:rRNA from 1 species
UGGAAAGCCUUUGCGGCAUGGGAUGGGGUCGCGUCCUAUCAGCUUGAUGGCGGGGUAACGGCCCACCAUGGCUUCGACGGGUAGCCGGCCUGAGAGGGCGACCGGCCACAUUGGGACUGAGAUACGGCCCAGACUCCUACGGGAGGCAGCAGUGGGGAAUAUUGCACAAUGGGCGCAAGCCUGAUGCAGCGACGCCGCGUGAGGGAUGGAGGCCUUCGGGUUGUAAACCUCUUUUGUUAGGGAGCAAGGCAUUUUGUGUUGAGUGUACCUUUCGAAUAAGCACCGGCUAACUACGUGCCAGCAGCCGCGGUAAUACGUAGGGUGCAAGCGUUAUCCGGAAUUAUUGGGCGUAAAGGGCUCGUAGGCGGUUCGUCGCGUCCGGUGUGAAAGUCCAUCGCUUAACGGUGGAUCCGCGCCGGGUACGGGCGGGCUUGAGUGCGGUAGGGGAGACUGGAAUUCCCGGUGUAACGGUGGAAUGUGUAGAUAU